UAUGGCCUAGGCUAGCCUCAUACCUCCUUAAAAUUGGAACACUAUAGAGAAGAUUAUCAUGGCCCCUGCGCAAGAAUGACAUCCACAUUCAUGAAGCAUUCCAUAUUAAA
rnacentral:snRNA from 1 species